rnacentral:lncRNA from 9 species
AGCCCCACAGGGCUCUGACGCCUCGGGCCGGGCCCUCUGACGCUCACUGUCAUUGCAGAGUCCCCCACCUGAGACCCGCCAGGAACAGGGUGAGGAAGGCAGAAGGCCACCCGAGGAACCUCCACACAGACUGCUCCCCGGGGUCCUCUGCCGGGCUGGUGGGGAGCACAGGAGCACCAGCUGUGGCCAUGAAGACACCGUCCACAUGAGCCUGACAACCCUGGAAGGCCUGGCACCCCCUGAGGCCCAGCCUGAAGGAGACCUGGAAUCCGAGGCCAAGACGCCAGCCGAGCCGAAAGACCCUGGAGCAGCCCCCAGAGGAGGUCCAGAACCACAGGAGGACUCAGCACCCGGGCAGGGAGGACCUCUGGCUCUUUCAGAGGGACGCCCACGCCUCAUGGGGACUCACCUCCCGGGGAGGAUGAACCCUCUGCUCCUCUCCCAAGAGGCCCAGCUCCUCUUGAGGAGUCAACACCCGGGCAGGGUGGAACCAAGGCGCCGCCUGCAGGAGGACCAGGCCCCCAUGAAGACUCAGCUCAUGGGCAGGAUCAACCUGCUGCUCCUCCUGAAGGAAGACCAGAGCCUCAUGAGGUCUCACCUCCCAGGCAGGAUGAAAAUCCUGCUCUUCCUACAGGAGGACGAGGCUCUCAGGAAGACUCAGCAGCCGGGCAGGAUGAAAAUCCUGCUCCUCCUCCUGGAGGACGAGUCUCUCAGGAGGACUCACGAGCCGGGCGGGAUGAAAAUGCUUCUCCUCCUCCUGGAGGACAAGGCUCUCAGGUGGACUCACCAGCCA